rnacentral:rRNA from 1 species
CCUACGGGAGGCAGCAGUGGGGAAUAUUGCACAAUGGGCGAAACCCUGAUGCAGCGACGCCGCGUGAGUGAAGAAGUAUUUCGGUAUUUAAAGCUCUUUCAGCAGGGAAGAAAAUGACGGUACCUGAUUAAGAAGCCCCGGCUAACUACGUGCCAGCAGCCGCGGUAAUACGUAGGGGGCAAGCGUUAUCCGGAUUUAGUGGGUGUAAAGGGAGCGUAGACGGCAGCACAAGUCUGGAGUGAAAGGCCGGGGCUUAACCCCGGAACUGCAUUGGAAACUGUGCAGCUAGAGUGCAGGAGAGGUAAGUGGAAUUCGUGGUGUAGCGGUGAAAUGCGUAGAUAUUAGGAGGAACACCAGUGGCGAAGGCGGCUUACUGGACUGUAACUGACGUUGAGGCUCGAAAGCGUGGGUAGCAAACAGGAUUAGAUACCCCAGUAGUC